AAUGAACGCUGGCGGCGUGCCUAACACAUGCAAGUCGGAUGUGCCCGCAAGGGUGCAUGGCAGACGGGUGAGUAACGCGUGGGGAAUCUACCUUUUAGUGGGGAAUAACGCUCCGAAAGGAGUGGUAAUACCGCAUGUGACCAUUGGCUGGGAUGUUGAUGGUGAAACCCUGGGACCUUCGGGCCAGGGGCUAAAAGAGGAUCCUGCGUCUGAUUAGCUAGUUGGCGGGGUAACGGCCCACCAAGGCGACGAUCAGUAGCCGGCCUGAGAGGGUGAUCGGCCACACUGGAACUGAGACACGGUCCAGACUCCUACGGGAGGCAGCAGUGGGGAAUUUUGCGCAAUGGACGAAAGUCUGACGCAGCAACGCCGCGUGGGUGAUGAAGGUCUUCGGAUUGUAAAACCCUGUCGCCAGGGACGAAGGGUGAGGUGUGAAUAGCGCCUUACUUUGACGGUACCUGGAAAGGAAGCCCCGGCUAACUCUGUGCCAGCAGCCGCGGU
rnacentral:rRNA from 1 species